UACAGAGGUCCCAAGCGUUGUUCGGAUUCACUGGGCGUAAAGGGUGCGUAGGCGGUCGGGUAGGUCUGACGUGAAAUCUUCAAGCUCAACUUGGAAACUGCGUCCGAUACUAUUCGGCUAGAGGAAUGGAGGGGAGACUGGAAUACUUGGUGUAGCAGUGAAAUGCGUAGAUAUCAAGUGGAACACCAGUGGCGAAGGCGAGUCUCUGGACAUUUCCUGACGCUGAGGCACGAAAGCCAGGGGAGCAAACAGG
rnacentral:rRNA from 1 species